UAGGGAAUCUUCGGCAAUGGACGAAAGUCUGACCGAGCAACGCCGCGUGAGUGAAGAAGGUUUUCGGAUCGUAAAACUCUGUUGUUAGAGAAGAACAAGGACGUAGUAACUGAACGUCCCCUGACGGUAUCUAACCAGAAAGCCACGGCUAACUACGUGCCAGCAGCCGCGGUAAUACGUAGGUGGCAAGCGUUGUCCGGAUUUAUUGGGCGUAAAGCGAGCGCAGGCGGUUUCUUAAGUCUGAUGUGAAAGCCCCCGGCUCAACCGGGGAGGGUCAUAGGAAACUGGGAGACGUGAGUGCAGAAGAGGAGAGUGGAAUUCCAUGUGUAGCGGUGAAAUGCGUAGAUAUAUGGAGGAACACCAGUGGCGAAGGCGGCUCUCUGGUCUGUAACUGACGCUGAGGCUCGAAAGCGUGGGGAGCAAACAGG
rnacentral:rRNA from 1 species